CUUUCUCAAAACUGAUGCUUGUAGAAGCAUUUAGAUAUUUGACUUCUUGGAGAAACACCAAGAAAUAAUCUGUCUGAGCCUAAUGAUGAGGUUAUAUGUUGAUGUUUCUAUUUUCCCCACUCCGUUUCUGGAUUAUGAGCAGUAAAUGUCUAUGUCGUCUCUGAUUCUGUCCUGAUUUACUUGGAGAGACAGGAAGGAUAGAAAUAAGAAGUGUUGCUGUUGACUUUUAUCCAAAACUCUUGAGGAAAAGACUGAUGGGACUUUUGUCUUCUCUGAGAACUGGGAAUCUGGGACUUUGGCUGGUCUGUGCCUGCCCAGAUCAUUUUGACUGUUGAGCUUUCUGCACAAGGGAGCCAGUUUCUUAGAAAAUAGAUAGCUAUGCAGAAGGGCAAGGAAAAUGGAGUGCUUGAUCCUGCUGAUGGCCUAUGUGAGAGAUACUGUGAAAGCUACUACUCUGAUCCCUAUAAAUAAUA